CAGAAGGUAGUUUAAUAUAAAAUUCCGGUUUUGGGGACCGGAGAUGAAAAUUUGAGGUUUUUUCUUUUGA
rnacentral:tRNA from 1 species